CUCAAUUGAAGAUGAGAAAAACUCUCUUGGGAACAAAGUUGCUGUUAUUUCUGAUGAGCUAUCCACUGAAAGGGAUCGCGUCCUUAGAAUUAGCGCAGACUUUGAUACUUUCAGGAAGAGGACUAAGAGAGACCGCCUCUCAAAGAGGAUUGUGCUUGUUCUGUUUAUACAUAUUUGCGCAAAGCUUCCAAUCAGUCAGCAAAUUUGCUUCUCGAUCAGAUUUGGAGGAGAGGGAACUCGAUAUCUGGCGCUUAAGAUGCAAUGUAACAUGUCAGUCAUGUUCAAUCAACCUUGUAUCAUUUGUUGACUGCAGAUGCAUUAAUUUAUGUAAAAGUUUGUAAAAAAUUUAUGUAUCUCUCUACUAUUUUGAUGAAUGUAUUAUUUGAAUAUAA